rnacentral:miRNA from 1 species
UCAUAUGAGAAUGUUGCAAAUAUAUAUAUAUAUGUGUGUGUGUGUGUGUGUGUGUGUGUGUGUGUGUAUACACAUAUACACACACACAUAUAUAUAUUUAAGAUAUAUAUAUA